GCACCCUAAGGCAAGGUGUGCUAAACAAAUUUAAAGAGUUGAGCUGUGGACACAAAUACCAGUGGCAAAUUUAGUAGAUCAACCACUGAAAGAACUAAUAUGUAAAAACUGCUAGCUGAUGCACUGCUGUUUUGAAAGACUCCUGACACGCUGUAUGGAUAUCGUAGCUAGGGUAUUGCUUUUUAGAGAGGCAACUUACAAGCUGUAUGGAUGGUAGAUGAUUUGAUGCAUCAUGUUUGAAGAACUUUUGAGACUUAUAUCCUGGGACUUCAUAUACUUCUAGAAAAAUGGCUCAACUAGUAAAUUCAAAGAGAAUACACAGUAAAUAUCAAAAUAGCACAGAAAAUUAUGUGGUAGUACUACAUGUAGCUGAAGGUAAAUAAAGACUUCAAAGAAAGUUUCUCCAUGGUAAGUUAUAUUAUAUUUUACAAUCAUCUUUUUAAAGUCCAAUAGACAACAUAUUUCGUGCGUUUAGGGGCAUCCUCACUUCUUUUCCAAUGUUGGAACAAUCGGUUGGAAAACAAUGAUGCUAUUUUGCACGAAUUAUUUGGCAAAUUGAAUUCUUAUAAUUGACAAUCAGCACUGCUGUCAUAAGGGAAUAGUGAUCAUUUACCUACUGAACAAAUAUUAUUUCUAGUUUAUCCUGCACAAUGAUGGUUGCUAAGACGCUUGAUGUAAUUUAUUAGUGCAGGGAUACAGGCAAUCCCCUCUAUCUGGUAUAUGACGUCAUAGAGGCACGCAUAAUUGAUGAGUUUUUUUACAGUGAUGGACAAACUCAAAAGUGGUCUAUUAACUUGUUUGAACAGAUUAAGGAUUGUAGUUUUAAGGUCGAUUAAGGUAAAGGUCAACAUAAAAAUGAAUGAUAAAACUUAUGCUUAAUAUGGUCAAAUUGGAUUUUCCAGGUCAAAGUCAAAAGUCAAGGUCAAUGUUGCAUCUUUUGUAGAAUGAUUAUAAAAAUACUUAUAUGCAGGGUCAAAGAUUAGAUGGGCCUUAUUUCAGAAUGCCACAUUACUCUUCAUUAGAGCAAGCACAGGUUAAAGGUCAAUUGUAUCUUAAAUCCAUUACCUGUUAAAUGACUUUUUAAACCUGCUUCAGUUAAAAAUAUUUAUUUAUCAUUAGUUCUCAACAAAUAAGAAAAAUUAAUGAUUAGAAUAAAAAAAUAAAAUAUUCUCUCCACUUUCGCUUAAAAUAAUAAUAUAAAGAUAUCAAUGGCCACUCAUUCCUAUUCUAAACUAUUACUAACUAACUGAACACUUUAAAAGAUUCAAUUUAACUGCAUGUACAUUUUUUUUUC